rnacentral:tRNA from 1 species
UAGCUCAGUUGGUAGAGCAUGGUGUGUGCAACGCCAGGGUUGUGGGUUCAAUUCCCAC